rnacentral:lncRNA from 1 species
GAUUAGUUUCAAUAACUAAUAUUUCAGAUAUACCUUUAGAAGAUCCAUCCUUCUUCCUGCUCUUCACAAUCACCAAGUAGGUCAGAAAGUUUCUCCUCCAGUGGCCUUCGACAUUGUAAUAAAAAUAUUUUUCUUUAUCGUCGGCCUUCUUAGGAACCUUUUUCUUGGGCUUAGCUUCAUUCUUCUACUUCUUUGCAAACUUUUUCUUCUUCUGAAAGAAGCCUGCUCCACAACUAAAACCAUACCCCU